GGUAGGAAGAAGAGGAACAAAGAAGAAGAAAACAGGAAGUUACAAGAAGAAAGGGAAACAUCAAACUCAAAGCAUUUCAACCAUCAUUGUAGUGUGACCUUCACAAGGAGGUAGUUGACAAUGAAGAGAUGCUUACCUUUGCAGCCCUCACAGUUUUUUUUAAGGAGCCACGGAAAGACAAACUAGAACAAAGGAUCACUGACCAGACUUGGAGACAGGCAUCAUCCUUGGCUGCACUCAUAGGACAAAGAAGAAAAGUCCACUAGAAGAACAACACAUAGCAAAUUAUAGCUUGUCUUUAUUGACAACUUACCAAAUAAAUUUUCGGAAAGUGAGAAUUCAUCCACAGCCGGCACAUCAGAAGUCCUGGAUUUAGUCUGACGACUGGAAAUACGUUCCGAAGGAAAAAGAAAUACAAGCUCCAGGAGACCUUCCAUUGGCUCUGCCAUGUCCAGCACACUUCC